rnacentral:rRNA from 1 species
CAGUCGAACGCUUCUUUUUCCACCGGAGCUUGCUCCACCGGAAAAAGAGGAGUGGCGAACGGGUGAGUAACACGUGGGUAACCUGCCCAUCAGAAGGGGAUAACACUUGGAAACAGGUGCUAAUACCGUAUAACAAUCRAAACCGCAUGGUUUUGAUUUGAAAGGCGCUUUCGGGUGUCGCUGAUGGAUGGACCCGCGGUGCAUUAGCUAGUUGGUGAGGUAACGGCUCACCAAGGCCACGAUGCAUAGCCGACCUGAGAGGGUGAUCGGCCACAUUGGGACUGAGACACGGCCCAAACUCCUACGGGAGGCAGCAGUAGGGAAUCUUCGGCAAUGGACGAAAGUCUGACCGAGCAACGCCGCGUGAGUGAAGAAGGUUUUCGGAUCGUAAAACUCUGUUGUUAGAGAAGAACAAGGAUGAGAGUAACUGUUCAUCCCUUGACGGUAUCUAACCAGAAAGCCACGGCUAACUACGUGCCAGCAGCCGCGGUAAUACGUAGGUGGCAAGCGUUGUCCGGAUUUAUUGGGCGUAAAGCGAGCGCAGGCGGUUUCUUAAGUCUGAUGUGAAAGCCCCCGGCUCAACCGGGGAGGGUCAUUGGAAACUGGGAGACUUGAGUGCAGAAGAGGAGAGUGGAAUUCCAUGUGUAGCGGUGAAAUGCGUAGAUAUAUGGAGGAACACCAGUGGCGAAGGCGGCUCUCUGGUCUGUAACUGACGCUGAGGCUCGAAAGCGUGGGGAGCAAACAGGAUUAGAUACCCUGGUAGUCCACGCCGUAAACGAUGAGUGCUAAGUGUUGGAGGGUUUCCGCCCUUCAGUGCUGCAGCUAACGCAUUAAGCACUCCGCCUGGGGAGUACGACCGCAAGGUUGAAACUCAAAGGAAUUGACGGGGGCCCGCACAAGCGGUGGAGCAUGUGGUUUAAUUCGAAGCAACGCGAAGAACCUUACCAGGUCUUGACAUCCUUUGACCACUCUAGAGAUAGAGCUUCCCCUUCGGGGGCAAAGUGACAGGUGGUGCAUGGUUGUCGUCAGCUCGUGUCGUGAGAUGUUGGGUUAAGUCCCGCAACGAGCGCAACCCUUAUUGUUAGUUGCCAUCAUUCAGUUGGGCACUCUAGCAAGACUGCCGGUGACAAACGGAG